rnacentral:tRNA from 2 species
GCAUUUUUAGCUCAGUGGAUAGAGCAACGGUCUUCUAAAUCGUAGGUCAUAGGUUCAAAUCCUAUAAGAUGUA